AGCAGCAUCAACACAAAGCUACCCUCUAUGGGGGCUUUGAAUCGUGACCAGACAGCCAGGAAAAACAGAGAAGGGAGCGUCGUGUCAUCCUCUCUGCACAGGAUGAGAAGCUCUGCUGAUGUGCGUUGUGUGCAGACUGCUCCUGCACACCUGUAAUCAAUCUAUGGCUGGAGCGCUUUUAAGGAACUGCGGGACGACCAUUCUUCGCCUGAUGCUCCACGUUGAGUGGUCAUGUGGAUCACAGCCUUGGAUUCUCAACCCAUCAUCUUCGGACAGCUAACUCAGGACCUCCAUUAACCAACUGCUUCUGCAAGCUCCUACUGCUUCCUCCAGCCUGCCCACUCUCCAACAAAUUGCUGAGACAUCACUUCCAGACUCUCUGGACCCCUGUAUCUCACAGAUUGUGCCCGAAACCCUACCAAGAUCUCUGCCGCCGGGAGACACUAAACCUGAGGACCGAACCCCGACAACCUG